UCUUACUUCACAAAUUCCUAAUUGUGUGAUUUUGGGUUCAGAGGUCAGACGUUUAACUACUGGCUGGAAUGGUGGAAAGGGGGAAUGUAAGGAGAAAAGCUGGCCAUCGCAUGACACAACUAUAAACAGGCUUCAUUUGGUGAUACCUCCAGGUAUCAGAGGGACCAAGGCAACUAGGAUCUGGAGCAGACCACCACCAAACUGCAGCAGCCCUGUGGAAAAGUGGCCUGACUGUUAAAAACAAAAAAAAGCAUCAACAAUAACAUCAACAAAAAAGACCCCACAAAAACCCCAUUCAAACGUCAGCUAUCACAGAGAUUGAAGAUCGAUAAGGCCACAAAGAUGAGAAAAAAAAUCAGUGCGAAAUUACUGAAAACUUAAAAGGCCAGGGUGUCUCUUCUACUCCAAAUGGCUGCAAUACCUCUCCAGCAAGGGCAGAGAACUGUGCUGAGGCUGAGAUGGCUGAAUUGACAAAUGUAGCCUUCAGAAGGUAGACAAUAAUAAACUUUGCUGAGCUAAGGAGCA
rnacentral:lncRNA from 13 species